UGCUGCUGCAGCAUCCAUUGGACCAAUGUUAAGUGUUCAUCAUUAACUGUAUGCCGCGGAAUUAAAACACGAACAUGUCUAAAUUAGAGCGAUACUCUCAGAAUGACAGGCCCUACACCUGGAUAAAACUGGUGCUGAGUCACGGUUUACCACUUCUACUUGUCACUUACCACCUGUGCUUCAACAAAUAACAUUUCAAAUUAAAAAUAGCAUAAAAAUAGGCUAAAUUUAGCUGGCAAGAAAAAAAUUCUCCCAAAAAGCCAGAUGUAAGAGGGAAAAAAUUGAAGAAAUCUUGAGAAGGACCACAGAGAGAAGAGACCGCUUCCUGGCCAGGCAGGUUCAUCCAGCUGCUCUUCAAAGAGACAAGCAAGCGGCACCAGCAUCCUGUUAACAGACAAGAUUAUCCAUCAGUGAGCCACAACACUCAGAAUCUGGAGAGUCCUAGUGGGUUACAGC